rnacentral:misc_RNA from 1 species
GAAAUGCGAUAAUUAAUGUGAAUUGCAGAAUUCAGUGAAUCAUCGAGUCUUUGAACGCACAUUGCGCCCCCUGGUAUUCCGGGGGGCAUGCCUGUCCGAGCGUCAUUGCUGCCCUCAAGCACGGCUUGUGUGUUGGGCUUCCGUCCCUGGCAACGGGGACGGGCCCAAAAGGCAGUGGCGGCACCAUGGCUGGUCCUCGAGCGUAUGGGGCUUUGUCACCCGCUCCCGUAGGUCCAGCUGGCAGCUAGCCUCGCAACCAAUCUUUUUAACCAGGUUGACCUCGGAUCAGGUAGGGAUACCCGCUGAACUUAAGC